UGAGAAGACCAAAGCAACUCUCCAAAAAAUGGCAGUUUGCCAAGGUUUAAUUUUAUUUGAUGGUCUUUUUUUACCAAAAGCAUCCGCAAUAAAAAAGAAGAUUUCUUUGAAUGAUUUAUUUUCUGAAACCAAAAUAAAGCGUUUAUUCUUCACGGUUGAAUUCAUCAACAAAAUCAUUGGUUUCACAACAUCUUUCACAGAUACAAAGCCCGUUAUUCCUUCCGUAUAAUAGGUAAAGCCUCUAUGAACUUGUCUAAAUAAUUUUCCGGAACCAGCAUUCCAAAACCCACUCCCUAAAAUAACCCCAGGAUUCACAAUCACCACCUCUACUCCUUCUUGACUUGCACGCCAAACUUCCAUUUCUGCACCAAAUUUAGUAAUAGAAUAUCCACUAUUAUCUAAUUCUUUAUUCCAUUCGUUUUCUUCA
rnacentral:rRNA from 1 species